AUUGAACGCUGGCGGCAGGCCUAACACAUGCCAGUCGAACGGUAACAGGAAACAGCUUGCUGUUUCGCUGACGAGUGGCGGACGGGUGAGUAAUGUCUGGGAAACUGCCUGAUGGAGGGGGAUAACUACUGGAAACGGUAGCUAAUACCGCAUAACGUCGCAAGACCAAAGAGGGGGACGCUCGGGCCUCUUGCCAUCGGAUGUGCCCAGAUGGGAUUAUAUUGUUGGUGGGGUAACGGCUCACCAAGGCGACGAUCCCUAGCUGGUCUGAGAGGAUGACCAGCCACACUGGAACUGAGACACGGUCCAGACUCCUACGGGAGGCAGCAGUGGGGAAUAUUGCACAAUGGGCGCAAGCCUGAUGCAGCCAUGCCGCGUGUAUGAAGAAGGCCUUCGGGUUGUAAAGUACUUUCAGCGGGGAGGAAGGGAGUAAAGUUAAUACCUUUGCUAAUUGACGUUACCCGCAGAAGAAGCACCGGCUAACUCCGUG
rnacentral:rRNA from 1 species